AUUGAACGCUGGCGGCAUGCUUUACACAUGCAAGUCGAACGGCAGCGCGGGCUUCGGCCUGGCGGCGAGUGGCGAACGGGUGAGUAAUGCAUCGGAACGUGCCCAGUAGUGGGGGAUAGCCCGGCGAAAGCCGGAUUAAUACCGCAUACGACCUGAGGGUGAAAGCGGGGGACCGAAAGGCCUCGCGCUAUUGGAGCGGCCGAUGUCGGAUUAGCUAGUUGGUGGGGUAAAGGCUUACCAAGGCGACGAUCCGUAGCUGGUCUGAGAGGACGACCAGCCACACUGGGACUGAGACACGGCCCAGACUCCUACGGGAGGCAGCAGUGGGGAAUUUUGGACAAUGGGGGCAACCCUGAUCCAGCCAUGCCGCGUGCGGGAAGAAGGCCUUCGGGUUGUAAACCGCUUUUGUUCGGGAAGAAAUCCUCUGGGCUAAUACCCUGGGGGGAUGACGGUACCGGAAGAAUAAGCACCGGCUAACUACGUG
rnacentral:rRNA from 1 species